GAUGAACGCUGGCGGCGUGCCUAAUACAUGCAAGUCGAGCGAACAGACGAGGAGCUUGCUCCUCUGACGUUAGCGGCGGACGGGUGAGUAACACGUGGAUAACCUACCUAUAAGACUGGGAUAACUUCGGGAAACCGGAGCUAAUACCGGAUAAUAUAUUGAACCGCAUGGUUCAAUAGUGAAAGACGGUUUUGCUGUCACUUAUAGAUGGAUCCGCGCCGCAUUAGCUAGUUGGUAAGGUAACGGCUUACCAAGGCGACGAUGCGUAGCCGACCUGAGAGGGUGGUCGGCCACACGGGAACUGAGACACGGUCCAGACUCCUACGGGAGGCAGCAGUAGGGAAUCUUCCGCAAUGGGCGAAAGCCUGACGGAGCAACGCCGCGUGAGUGAUGAAGGUCUUCGGAUCGUAAAACUCUGUUAUUAGGGAAGAACAAAUGUGUAAGUAACUAUGCACGUCUUGACGGUACCUAAUCAGAAAGCCACGGCUAACUACGUG
rnacentral:rRNA from 1 species